UGCAGUGACGAUGAAAAAACAUCUCGUUAAGCUGAUGCCUUUUGUGAAGACAUUUAGAAUUCCAUUCACAAUUCAUUUCUGAGC
rnacentral:snoRNA from 1 species